UGAUUUGACAUUUAGGAGUUCAUUAGUGUUCCUUCAAGAGGAAUUCUUUAAUUCAUUAAAGUGAUGAAUAACUUUCAUCUAUUUUAUAUAUGCCAAUUUCUUUACAUGUCUUCUCUUCUGGAAUAGAAGCUCUUUGCAGACAAAAUAAAAACUAAAAGGACGAGCCAGGGCAGGAAAAUGCCAGCUGGAGAUCAGUUGAGCAAGGCUGCCAAACCACACAUGAGGAGGUGGAAGAGAAGGGCUGUUUAUUCUGGGAAUUGGGCAGAAAUUUCACUGUCUGCAUAAACGUUUUGGAUGCAUUAGUUUUGUUUGUGUGUUCCUGGUUCCUGACUGAUUUUACCAGUGGAUCCUGAUUGGAAGACCAUGUCUUCAAUUAAGACUGUAUGAUGGCGACUGGCAUGCUUACCAGAUGAAGGACCAGAGAAGAAGAAAGAGUUCUACAAGGAACAUGAAUGGACAUGGAAGGACUUAACUUUGAACUUUGAAAUCUUGGAACUUUUGGCCAUGAGGAUAUGUAAGGAUGCAUCGUACAUGUGAACAUCACAUAAAUAUGCAUGUACAUCCUACAUAGCAAAGGAAGAUAUUUCAUGGAAUGGUCAGAAAGAAUGCUUGAUGGAGAAAGGCCCGUGGAAGUCUGACAGAAUCCAGUCUCCAGAAGAUUGCAACCACAUCAUUAUGAUCCAGUAACUAAAUAUGUUACACAAGAUCUCCCUGGCACUAAGUUGUUGUUACAGGGGAAGCUCUCAUGUAGAUAAACUUGUGCUAAAUGUU